AAAAUGUGAUCAGAAAAGCUCACUUGAGCCUUCGGCUCAGGUGAGCUAAAAAAGAAUUAUGAUUGUAAUUAUGGAUUUCUUUAUACAAGUGACUUUUAAUUAUAGGCCAAGAGAAGCUUGCAUCUGUGCCAUCUGGUGGUGCAGUGGCCGCCAGUGCUCCCGCUGGAGGAGCCCCUGCCGAGGCAGCACAAGAAAAGAAAGAAGAGAAGAAGAAGCCCGAGCCAGAAUCCGAGUCCGACGACGAUAUGGGAUUUGGUCUCUUCGAUUAAAAAAGGACUAUAUAUGUCUUAAAGAAAUAAAUCAUAAAACAAUUUA